rnacentral:rRNA from 2 species
AGUCGAACGAUGAAAACUAGUUAAUCUCAUCGGAGUGAAACUAGUUGGAUUAGUGGCGAACGGGUGAGUAACGCGUGAGUAACCUGCCUUACACAAGGGGAUAGCCUCUGGAAACGGAGAAUAAUACCCUAUGAUAUUACUAGAUUGCAUAAUCAAGUAAUCAAAGUGUUUUAGCGGUGUAAGAUGGACUUGCGUCUGAUUAGCUAGUUGGUGAGAUAACAGCUCACCAAGGCAACGAUCAGUAGCCGGCUUGAGAGAGUGUACGGCCGCAUUGGGACUGAGACACGGCCCAGACUCCUACGGGAGGCAGCAGUGGGGAAUUUUGCACAAUGGGGGCAACCCUGAUGCAGCGACGCCGCGUGAUUUAUGAAGGCCUUCGGGUUGUAAAAAUCUUUUGUAUAGGAAGAAAAUGACAGUACUAUACGAAUAAGGUCCGGCUAAUUACGUGCCAGCAGCCGCGGUAAUACGUAAGGACCGAGCGUUGUCCGGAAUCAUUGGGCGUAAAGGGUACGUAGGCGGCCACUUAAGUUAGAAGUCAAAGGCUAUAGCUCAACUAUAGUAAGCUUCUAAAACUGUGUGGCUUGAGAGAUGGAAGGGAAAGUGGAAUUCCUAGUGUAGCGGUGAAAUGCGCAGAUAUUAGGAGGAAUACCGGUGGCGAAGGCGACUUUCUGGCCAUUAUCUGACGCUGAGGUACGAAAGC